UUUUNGAGUUUUGAUCCUGGCUCAGGAUGAACGCUGGCGGUCUGCUUAACACAUGCAAGUCGAACGGAAUCCUUAGGGAUUUAGUGGCGGACGGGUGAGUAACACGUAAGAACCUGCCUCUAGGACGGGGACAACAGUUGGAAACGACUGCUAAACCCGGAUGAGCCGAAAGGUAAAAGAUUAAUCGCCUAGAGAGGGGCUUGCGUCUGAUUAGCUAGUUGGUGAGGUAAGAGCCCACCAAGGCGACGAUCAGUAGCUGGUCUGAGAGGAUGAUCAGCCACACUGGGACUGAGACACGGCCCAGACUCCUACGGGAGGCAGCAGUGGGGAAUUUUCCGCAAUGGGCGAAAGCUGACGGAGCAAGACCGCGUGGGGGAG
rnacentral:rRNA from 1 species